UGCCAUGAUUUUAGAUCUGAACUUAUUAUGUUCUCUCUGAAUAUGAAAAGUUUGUAGAUCCUAUAUUGCAAGUUGUAUGUACCUAUUGCGUGUCUUAAUCCGCAUACCCCAAGGUGACAAUAAUUGGGAUUCUUUCCGGUGAUGGUUGUAGUUUGAGGAGUUCAUGCAUACACUAUGUAUUAAUGCUUUGUUCUGGUUCUAUAGUCAAAGGAGGCCAUAAUAUCCCUUAGUUUCCAAUAGGAACCCGCUGCUACGGGUGGGUACGAAAAAAAUUAAGUCAUGUAAGUUCUUAUC
rnacentral:lncRNA from 1 species